CCUGUUCAAGAAAAUAAUACAUGGAAUAAAAGUAAAUGAAGUUGCUCCUGCUUAUUUCAUUUGUAUCCACCACAGACAUCUUAUUUUCACAGAGAGUUUUCAUAUUAUUUUCGCGGUUAUUUGUCUGACUAUAGAACGGCGCAAGGAUGUAUCUUAAGAUUGUUGGUGUCGUCAUCUGCCUAGCGAUUCUUCUCUCCAUUGCUGCGUCACUUCCUCAAGAUGAUAAUUAUGGAGGUGGUUUCGGAGGUGGUUUUGACUUUGGAAGAAAAUAAUUUGACUACGGAAGAAGAAAACAAACCUAAUUAUGACCAAGACUUAUGCAUUUAAAAGUACAUAAAUGUGAUAUAUGUUUGAAUUUUUAUGAAGUAAUAUAGUAAGUUUGCUUGAAUAAACCGUGAGGUUGUUGAAAUUUA